AGAUCUAGACCAUCCCAAAUUGGCUUUGCCAUCGGGGAUUCCCAGUUACGGUAACGCGCGACGUUCAGAAAGAAACUGGACGCAAAAUGAAACCUUUGGGUUCACAAAAUACUGAUUUGUGAUGUAUAAAAUACUGAACCAUAAAGGGUGGGAAGAUCUGAGCGUGACAACUUCGUGUUUGGGGGUGGAGUUUAAUCUAUUCUUCUUGCAAAGCAUGAACAUCACUGGGAAAGUUUGAGGUGAUAAAUAUGAAUGUUUGGAAGUUUAAAUGCAUUUCCUGGCACAAGUUAUUUUCUAGUACAAGUUAUUUUCUAGUACAAGUUAUUGUCUAAACUAACUAUUUGACAAAAGUGGUACCGAGGAGAUUCUGUCCUUAAUUUUAACAUCACUGUUUUCUCUCAUUUCUUUUGCUGCAAAUGUCACUAAAACGCCCUUCAGUGGUUCGUCUGGGUUUUUAAAACGUGGAUUAGGGGAUAUGGAAGAAGUUCUUUCAUCAUCACACAGAUGACCCUUGUGAAUGAGUUGUGGGAUACCUUUGAGAAGGUUGUUCUUUAGAGUUUAAAUGGGAUUAAGUGAUAUGAAAAUCACAGCUACUAAAUCUCAGGCUGGAGUCUGUGUACAAAGGCUGCACUGUUGUGUUUCAUGGAAGUCUGAUGGAAAAACCUGUCUUUGGGAAGUUGUUGCUCUUCAGGACAGAUUGUUCCAUGAGUGUUUCUACCUGUAACUUCUCCUGGCAGUUGCUUUUGAGUAUCAAUGCAUUGGCAGAAAUUGCAGAUGAAUUUUACUGGUGAAAAAUAAUAACCCCAGGGAUUUUGGUUUGGAUUUUUUUUUCUUUAAUAGCAUCAUUGGUUAAAUCACCUUGAUUGUUAUUUCAACUGAUGAGUUAACCAGCAAUAAUUGGUUUAGUUCUCAGGCUGAGAACCUGCACUGUGAGGCUGAUAUAAGCUACAGAAUAUGCCUUCUGGCAAGUAAUAAAGGUGUUUUGUAAUAUAGACACACAACAUCUGUGAAGGAGGGUGUGUUAGAAGAGUAUUUAAUUAAAUUAGUUUGUAGUCUUGCAGAAAUUACAAAUGAUAAUUUGUGCUAAAAUACAGCAAUUUAGAGGCACACAUUAAAUAUUGUUGCUGUCAAAUUUUGCCAAUCCCCUUCCCCUCAUCUACAUCCUCAUCCUGCAGCUGGUUUUGCAGUGGCUUUUGGAGAGAUACAGACAGGGAAGUUUUAAAUAUCAGCAGCUAAAUAGAGCCACGUCUGACCAAUUUAUGUGCAAUUAAUUACCAAGGAAAGCAAGAGAAGUGGUCUUGGUUUUUCAGUGACUGCAGAACCUUUACUCUCACAUAUUUAAAGGUUGCUUUUUCACAUUAAGUUUUCCAAAUAUAACGAAGUGCUUACAGAUGUAGGUCUUCAAGAUUUUCCCCAUCAUGGUGAGGCUUGAAUAGUUGGUUUUCAGGUAAGUUGGAAACCAGAAGUCCUGGCUCUAAGUAGUUUGUACUGGGAAGAUGGUCCCAGGCAGAUAAUAAUUGGAAUUAAAAUUAUUAAUGUAUUAAUAAUUUAUAUUAAAUUUAUCUUACAGAAAGACCUUUGUUUUAAUAAGUUAAGGUUUUUGUCUUAAGUAUUGUGGUCGAUGUUAUUGUAAAUACUUGGUUGUCAUGAAUAAUAGAAUAAUGGGAUCCAUGUGAUUUGCAGGUCAGUGAAGACCCUUGAGUCUUAGAUGAUAAUAUUUCAUAAAUAUUUCAUAAAUAGGAAUAUCUUAGAUGAUAACAUUUCACUAGAAAUCGAUGCAGAGACCUGUUGGAUAAUUUUUAUUCAGAAAAAAAAGUGGUCAGGUUUUUAAGGUACCUCCAGAUAAUUUUCAUUAAAGUGGUCAGGUUUUUAAGGUGCUUCCAAAUGAACCCCUCUGAAUUUGUUAGGAUGUGUGCAUGACACUUGUGUCUAAUUGGCAGUUCUGAGUGAAAGGAAAACGUAUCUCAGGAAAAAAAGAUA